GCAGAUCUAAAUUUUGAUCUGCUAUGCGACAUCUCACAGGACGUUUGGAAAAAAGAAAUUCUUAAGGACACAAGCAAGUGUUUCUAGGACUCAAGGCAUAUACAGACAUGAACACAUCCAUCCGCUGGCACACAAGGCACUGUUACAGCAACCGGGACAAGGCCUUCACCAGGGACUGGAAGCGGCUGUCACUCAAAGCUCUGACAGAAUGAGAACAUGCCAAUAUGGCGACCAGUGACAUCAUCUCAUGACAAAAUAGGAAGACGCUUGUGGUUCUUGAAUGUCAACUACAGACCGGGUGCUACUCAGUUGAGAACCUCCCCAAACACCUCGCCGUUGUCACUUUAUAGACAAGGUGCCCUGUAUGACGCAGAUCCAUCUGACUCCCUUCAUCGUCUGUUGCCCUUCAAGGAUGGACCAUAACAGCAUUCCCUAAACAAAAUCCCAGGGAUGCCAAAGCCCAGAGGAGAUGUCUGAGGUCCUGGCCUUUGUUCUCCUUAGAGGUCCCAGGAACAAAGCGGCGUUCCGCUUCACCUGGGUGUCAACUACAGAAUCAUUGGGUAUGUAGUCACAGAGGGUGGGAUGGGGACUGCCCGGGAUGGGGAGAUGCGGGAAGGCACAAGUCAGCACUGAGAUCGAGCACACAGCAUGCCAACUAGAAUUAAUACUGUGUGGCGGGCUGGGGUGUUGCUCGACUAGCAGAGUGCUUACCUGGUGUGCAUGAAGCCCAAGGUUUGAUCCCCAGUACUGCAUAAACCAGGUGUGAAAGUACACCCCUAUAACCCCAGAACUUGAUGGUAGGGGUAGGAGGACCAGAAGCCUUAGCUACAUAUUUCAAGGCCAUCCUAGGCUAA